UGUCCUAUUUCAUGCACCACUU
rnacentral:siRNA from 1 species